CAUACCCCCUCUCUCGGUCUACCCAGUACUGCAACUGAGAGCCGAGCGAAAGUUCAACGAAGAUCGCCAACACGAACUCUGACGAAGAUAUUUGGGAGAUACACAUACAUAUUUGUAAUAAAGAAUUCAUAAUUAUUCUCAUUUCACACCUCAAACUACUCAGUCGUUUUUUUGGAAGCUUUCCUCCCUCGGCCACGGGAUUGUAACUGGCGCAGCCGGUCAACGGACAAGGGAUUAACAAUGCCCACUACGCUUAUCGUUCUAAUUCUAAAGAGGUAUUGAACAUGUGACGGCAGUGGUUGUGGGGAUUUUAUUAGUGAGUGGUGAAAUAGAAAGGAAUUGGAUAAAACAUAAUAACGUGCAAGUGCAAUUAAAACAAAGGAAACAAACGAAAUCAAGUUCAAAUUGCUUCACAGGCGACCGUAUAUGUGUACAUCAAACGCUGAUAAGGCACCGGGAUCGCUUGUGCGGGACAAUUUACAACAAUUAUACCAACGAGUUACUGUGUGUGAUGACCGUAUAUGUGUACAUCAAUCGCUGAUAAGGCACCGGGAUCAUCCAUACACCCUAACUCAUACAAAUGGUAAAUUAAUCAACAACAAAAAAAAUAAUAAUAAAAAAAAUUAAAAGAGAAAAAAAAUUUUUUCUGACAUGUUAAACUACUGUGUAUGGUUACCAUUUGUGUGUCGGAGAGCGCUUGGUGUGUGCGAGAAUAUUGGUUGCUCUUUGGUUACUUCAUAAGAAUGGUAAUUUCAUCACUAUGGUAAUAUUACAUCAGCCUAUAUUCGCACUGCGAACGGUUGUUGUGUCUCUAUAGUUCUGAGAACAACCGUUUGGCGCGGCGACAGAGCGACGUCGCUGCCGCUGAGUGUUGGCCGUUGUGCACAACAGAAAAGAGAAUGGUAAAGAACGAGAUCAGUCGAAUAUUAGACUACGUUGUGACCAGAACUCGAAUAAAUUUUGGACAUCGAUCGCCUCCGAUAUAACGGGACCUCCUACACAAGUGUUUUAAAAAAAAAAUAAAUAAUAAUAAAUAAAUAACUAACUUGCUGCGCAGGAGGUGAAUUUGGACAUCAGUCGCCUCCGAGGCAACGGGAUCUAAUUCACAGUGGGUUAUAAAUAAAUAAAUGUAAGUUGUGUGAUUAACGACCGAAUAUGUGCACAUCAAUCGCUGAUAAGGCACCGGGAUCGUUUUCACUUAUCCAUUUACAUGAAAAAAAAAAAAAUAAUAAUAACAAUCAUAAUAAUACUAAUAAAUAAAAAAAAAAGACAAAAAAAAAGAAAAAAAAAGGAAAAAAAAAAAAAUUUGCACAGUGAUACAGUUUCCUUCGGCAAUAUCAAGUAAGCAUGUAUGUGUUUGUGUUGCGCCGCUUGUAUAACCCUAGCGACGUCGACGCAUCACUGUACAUUGGCUACCGCCAAAAGCUGAUGUCGCGCCAGAGUGGCGGCGCGACGCUUGACGCCGUACACUUGCCGAAUUCUUUUUGCACACCACGCACUACAAACAAAAAAAAACCCACUCAAUUAAUUCAAGAAAAAUAAUGCAUAUAUGUAUAGAAAAAAAAAAGAACCAAAAAAAAAAAAACCAACUUAACGCCUACUGUUGUCACAUGUUCACUAACCUAUAACAAAAAUACACUCUAUUCAAUAGCUAUUUAAAUCAUGUAUUACAGCUAAAGUCGAAAACACGAGUAAAAGGUGGAUAGAAGCACAGCAGCACUACAAGAACGACAUAUACUAAGCACCGGGAAACAAGGAUAAGAAGAAACUGCGUAACGGACACACACAUACAGGUUUUCUUUUAUUUUGAAAAGAAUACACACAUAUAAUACACAUUCAAACAGAUACAUAUACAUAGCAUCACAGAAUAUAAUACAUUACUACAUUAAUAUACAAACGAAAACAAAACAAGCCUAACACCCAAAAUUUUCCCUAAACAAAAAGAUAUUAUUAAUAUACCUAUUUUUACAUAUUAUUACACAUAUCAUAACCAUACCUUAAUAUAUAAUUAUUCACUACUAUUUUCAAACAAAAAUACAGAUUUCUUCCCAAUACGUGUAAAUGUUAGAAAAAAAAGCCAACAUUAGUAAUACAGUUAGGGGCAGAUUAGGGCUAAGAAGCGGAUCUGGUCUAUCUGAGAUAAGGGAAGUGGCAGGAACAUAAGAAAGACAAGCACUAUUUAAUAAAUAUAUUAUUAUCAAACUAAGUAACAUAAAAACCCACUUUAUCAAGAAAUAACACUUAUUCAUUAUAAAGUAGGAAUAGCUUCAAUUUAGACACUUUGAUUACGUAAAUAAAGUAGUCGAUAGCCUUUAGCCAGUAAACUAAACAUUAUCCAUAAACUGUUAUUUCAUAAGAAACAAAUAAUAAUAUAUGGUAAUAUAGAAAUUAAGUGAACAAAAUGUAACUUUAGCAUUAGAUGUAACGUUUAUAUACACAACACUCAUGUUUAACAUUAAGAUACCCAUUUCAAAAAAAAAACUGUUAAAUUCAAAAUAUCGUCGGAGUUCGUGGCAUAUACCAACAACACGCCGCCUAAUCACCUUGCUCCGAUCCGGCCAUUUCCCAUUACGGCCUUCUCUUCGGACUGGGGGGGGAGGAGUUAACAUACCCCCUCUCUCGGUCUACCCAGUACUGCAACUGAGAGCCGAGCGAAAGUUCAACGAAGAUCGCCAACACGAACUCUGACGAAGAUAUUUGGGAGAUACACAUACAUAUUUGUAAUAAAGAAUUCAUAAUUAUUCUCAUUUCACAAA